GUGAUAGUGAUGGUUAUUAAUGCAGUGUUGUGAUGGUGAUAGUUAUUAUUGCAGUGUUUUGAUGGUAAUAGUGAUGGUAGUUAUUAAUGCAGUGUUGUGAUGGUGAUAGUGAUGGUUAUUAAUGCAGUGUUGUGAUGGUGAUAGUGAUGGUUAUUAUUGCAGUGUUGUGAUGGUGAUAGUGAUGGUUAUUAAUGCAGUGUUUUGAUGGUGAUAGUGAUGGUUAUUAUUGCAGUGUUUUG